UUUCAAACAUCUAAUCAAUAAUAAGAAGAGAAGAAUGAUCAUUCCUAGUUGCCUUUAGUAACCUUGUAGAGAAAAUGGCAAUCUUUAUUUUAUUCCACUGGUAUCUUAGCUGAGUAAUGAGGAUUUUUUUCUCUUAGCAAAUCUAGAAAUCAAUCUAACAAAGUAAUGGAAAAGGGUUUUUAAAGACGACCUUUUGUGGUGGGAUGUGGGCUGCAAAAUAUGGACGAAAGAAAAGGAGGCCUUCUUUCAGUCAGUCCAAUUGACUUUGUCCUUCUUUGACAAUUUCUUCAAAAAUACUUCGGUUUAAUAUUUAAUUCAAAAUUUUCUGAUUCUCAUAUGUAAGAAUUUCCUGUUAAAUUCCUGGCCUGAUGAAAAUUCUUUUGUAUUUCAGCUUAAAAAACUCAUGUCAACCUCACAUUCAUCAUCCGAUUAAGAAUAAGAAAUGUACAUAGCCCAUGUAUAUAGCUACCAACAUAGGUUUUACAAUCCUAAGUUUAGUAUGCUUGUCAUCAUAUAUUUGAGUUACUUGAAAUAUAAAGCAUAUUUUUCGUCAGAAAACUAUGUCCUUGGUCCUCCCAUUGGUAUAAAAAUGUAAA
rnacentral:lncRNA from 1 species